UCACAAUUGUAUAUAAUGUAGUCAGGAGUUUAGUAACAAUGAAGGUCUGUUCCUUAGUUCAUUCAGUUGUACAAUCUCCAGGUGGUGGGAACGGCCCAUCUCCAGACUGUCUAGAAUGUUGAUUUAUACUGACUGGCCUUGACUUCGUGCUGAUAACGCGAAGGCUCCAGAGCUAGAGGGCCCCUCUACUUGUGAAAUAGAUAGAACGUUUAGAAAACGCUGACGUCAUUUUCAGUUUAUAACCUGUGGAAAUAUGUGUAUGCGGUUAGUACUCUCUUGUAAUAAACGCUGUUACCUUUGGCUUUUAAGACUGGUCUCGAUCUACUUCAUGCAUAAUUAAUGAACUUACAACUCAUUAAUGAAUUAGAAAUGAGUGCGAAUUGGUUUUGGCAAUAAAACAUACAGGAAUUUAGAAUUCCUCUAUCAAUUUGGUCCUUCGAUGCCGGAUCUAAAUACCCCUCCCUGUUAUCUGGAGAUAGUACGCUGAAAAUCGUGCACGAAACGAGUUCUGACUCGUUUUACUAAAGACCUGACCUCUGAAUUGAGGUUCAAAUUAAAACAGGCCUGCAUAUUAUCACAGAGGACAGAGAAGGUGACUAGAUUCAAAUGAACAAUGCUUUUCCAGCCGGCAGCCAGGUACUGCCAAAACCAGAGGUCCCAGACGAACCAGGGCCAGACACACUCCUCUACCACCCCUGGACCGAACCUGUCACCACUGUGUUAAAAAUCCCAUUCAGGUAAUUAAUGUUAGACUAUUCAGCUAUUGAUCAAUUAGGCACAGAGACUGGUUUUGAUGGUAGGGACAAUUUGUGGCUGUCUUAUACAGAAUAGACAUGCUUUGGAUAUGCUUCUUCCCAGUCAGGGGGGCGUCUGCAAGAUGUUCGGUGAACAAUGUUGCACGUAUAUUCCUAAUAACACCAGUCCAGAUGGUAGUAUAUCUAAGGCCCUUAAUGGGCUUGAUGCACUAUCUGCUGAGAUGAGGACCAUGGCGGGGGUGGAGGAGUCUGGACUGUUAUCUUGGUUGUGAGCCUGGUUAGGUAAGUACACUGGUAUGGUGGUUACUGGAUUUCUGACCCUAAUUAUUGUAUUUUUGUUAUUGAUGUGUUGUGCUGCUUGCAUCAUACCGUGUUUAAAGAAGUCUGUUACAGAUGUGGUGAAGGCUUCAGGCAUGAUGCCUUUGCUUGAUGCUCCAGUUGGAGAUGCUGAUACUGAAGCAUGCUUUCAGGGGAGGAUGAGACUGACUGAGGAUGACCCAUGUAUGUUUGUUCUCCCUGUCGUGAAGGGUGGCAUGGUGCCCACCUGGUGCAGGAUAGGAGUAGCUGAGAGGACCAGAUGGGUUAUAAUAAUGCUUUGUUCUGCUUUACUCUGUUUUCCAUGACCAAAGUUUUAUUCCACACUUUGCAACACAUAUUAAAUCCAUGUUAUUGUCAGAUAGAAUACUGAGGGUCCCCAAGGAGAGGGCUUGUUAGUGUAGGAAGGAUUUUUAAUAUGGUUAGCAUUUAUUAGACCUUGAUUGAUUAUUAUAAGUUUUUAAAUAGUAUUAUAUUUAACAGGAAUAUAGGACAUCUAUGAUGAUUUAGGAUUAUUGUUAGGAUUAAGAUAGAUUGAUUAAGGAAAUGUAAGGACUUUAGAGAAAAGCCGCUCAUAGACAUGUUUUUUUCUAAAAGAAAAUCCAUGAGUUUAGAUAAAGCCAAACAGUGAGACAUGUAGUUCAAAUUUGGGAACGUGAGAAACAGAGCCACAGGCAGACAGAAGAGCCCUCCCCCGCACUGCAGAGACCUUGAAGGUUGGAGAGCAGAGAGAAGUUUUAGAAGGGGAGCCAGGACGAGCAAAGAUAACAUAAUGUGUAGAUAACAGUUACUGAGUGGAGACAAAAGCGAGAAUUGGACAUGUGGAAAAUGAAAGGGGCGCUCCUAAAUGAUAAUGUCAGAACAGAAGGAUAAUAUACUAAAUCUUACCUAAGUCAUUGUUUAAGAAUAAGGCAAGGUUGUUACCUGGGCAGAGCCAGGUAACAAAGGGGGGAUGCGUGAAUGGUGUUCUAGAAUAGGAUGUGACCUACGAGAUAAUUAACUGAUAAAAAUAAAUAAAUUAGGUAAUAAAUGAGAAACUGUUUGUUAACCUGUAUGUCCAAGAUUUUAUGCACUACAGGUGAAAUACAGGUGAAGUCACUCAAUCCAGUCCCAUAGGCCUGUCGGGGGGACCAUACCAAGAACUCCUGGUGACAGCAAGCUGAAAGAGCUACCCGGAUUCAUAUCGCACUGCGGGAGGGUAAGGCACAUUUGACACUGUCGAACAAUAACAGAGUUUGAGAGGAAAACUGGAAUUAACAGAAUUCUGGGGGCCAUCUCUCGAAUGAAAAAUACCUUACCUGUCCUUUCCUCACUGUUGUUGUUCAUAGAAGUGAAGAUGUGUCUGGCUCUUGCUAAGCGAUGUGUUCUAGGGGAGAGGGUGGGGCUUCACAUGGAAGCUGUUCGUCUGAGCUGUCUUAUCGUGGGGGACAUAUUCAUGAUACAGCACGUCCUACUCGAGUAUGCGGAGAGUGGUAAUUUGACCCAUGGUUUAGACGAUGAGGAGUUUGUUCCAAAAUAAAAGAGAUAUCGGUGCAGGUUCCCAUAUUGAUCGUGGACACAAGUCAUAGCUCAUGUGGAGAGAGAGGACUAUAUGAAUCCACUCACCCAGUAUGGAAGAAGGUAGAGUAGAGUGAAAGUGAGUGUUUUUGAUUGUAAUCCGGAGAGAGGGAUGCAUUGCAUAAGCCUAACCCUCUAAACAGUAAUGAAGGAGAAUCUAGGGUUGUGGUAUGAUGGAGAUGACCAGGUCUUGGUCGACACCCUAGUACGGUUCAGGGUAGAGGAGUUUGGGCUGGUAUGGUAAAGCUGUUCACGAAAGCAGGAAUGCCAGAUAAUGACAGUUGUAUUGAUUUGCACUAUUUAAAUCCCCAGGUUCCUCCCUUUACAGUGACCGGAGGAGAUUAUUACCGUUUGGCCCAGUACAGUACUUUUGGGAAAUGAUGUCAGGGCGAGGUUUUACCGACAGAUUGGACAGGAUUAUGCUCCAUUGUAAUGCCUUUGACACUCAUUCAACACCAAGACAUGAAGUAUAGCCAAACGGGAGAAAAGAGCUAUUCCAUCCGUGUCUCUUAUUGACUGAUAACAUUGGGGUUCCAAGGGAGGUGCCAGAUGAGUCAAAACAAGAAAUCAGAUCCUAGCAGGAUUAGAGUUAAGCAUUUCCGGGGCUCUACUCUCAUAAGAACGUGGACUGGAUUAAUUAUAUUUAUGAUAAUCAACAGCGCUUUAACAGGUAUACCAGAGAUGUUAUUAAAGGUUUUGUAGAACAGACUGAAGCAACCAGCUGGAAGGCUUGGCAGAAUAGAAUUGCAUUAGAUAUGUUAAUGGCUGAAAAGGGAGAAGUAUGUGUGAUAAUCAGGACCAUGUUUGUGCUUACAUCCCAAGUAACACAGCUCCGGACGAAUCAGUGCCCGAAGCCUCAGCUGGUUUGACCACCCUGGCUCACGAGUUGGCAGAAACUCUGGGGUGGAUACUUCUCUGAACUAAAUUGGGUUGACAGUGUGUAUGGAAAAAUGUUGUGUUAUGGGCUACCUUCACCUGUGUGACUGUGUUAGUUUUGUACGGACGUGGUUGAUUGCGUGUAUGUAUGGAAGUAAUUAUUUCCAGGACUCUGGAGUAAUAUAUGACAAUAGAUGAUGCGGUGUGGGACGAUUCCAGGUUCUGACCCGUGGAGGACUGAAUGCCUGACUACAGGACAAGUGGACAAAUCUGGAUCUUUCAUCAUUGGGGAAUUUAUGUUUGAUGAGACUAGUGUUGAGGAUAGAAUUAGAUUGUACUUUGUUUCAAUAUUAGACUGUUUUUUAAUAAAGAUUGUAACAAAAAUCCUGUUAAGAAUAAUUCUGAUGUAGGUUUAAGGGUUAAAUUAAGGUUAGAUUUGAUUAAUGAUGGGUGAAGAGUCGGAUAAACAUUUAUAAUAAUGUUGGUUAUGUGUAUAUUCAUGUGAUAAUCUGAUAAACCUUUAUAAUAAGGUUAGUACGAGUAGGUUAAUAUUUUUAUUUUGUAGAUUUGAAUGUAUAAUAUUUGAUCAAAAGGAGGAUUGAUAGAGGAAAUUAUGGUUGACAUGACUAAUUAUGUAUACAUUCCAAUCAGAACUGACUAGUCAAAAUGCUAUAAUGUACUGUACAUGUGAAUUUUCUCUCUUGCUCCCAUUCCCAAUUGUAUAUAAUGUAGUCAGGAGUUUAGUAACAAUGAAGGUCUGUUCCUUAGUUCAUUCAGUUGUACAAUCUCCAGGUGGUGGGAACGGCCCAUCUCCAGACUGUCUAGAAUGUUGAUUUAUACUGACUGGCCUUGACUUCGUGCUGAUAACGCGAAGGCUCCAGAGCUAGAGGGCCCCUCUACUUGUGAAAUAGAUAGAACGUUUAGAAAACGCUGACGUCAUUUUCAGUUUAUAACCUGUGGAAAUAUGUGUAUGCGGUUAGUACUCUCUUGUAAUAAACGCUGUUACCUUUGGCUUUUAA